GAUUUAUUUUUAGCAACAACAACACUAUUGAAAUUAAAUGAUUUAGAGGAUAAUAUUGUUAGUGAAGUCAAUGUCAUUAAAGAAGAUUAUUUAAGUGAGAGUACCAUCGCCCAAGGUAAAAAUAAAAUAUACAAAAUAUUUAAAUUAUAUAAUCGACAAGUUCUUCUCUGGACUAAUUCUACUGACAAUUCUAAUAGCUGUCAAAACGGAAAUGCAUUUUGCAGAUGGUACUACAAAGGCUUACGAAGUAAAAAAUAUAAUAAAUCAAGUUGGCAGAACGGAAGCAGUAUACAAUAAUAAUAAUCAGUUACUCAGACAUGACUUAAAAUAUACUGAAAGUCCUCUGAGAGAAUCUAAUUCAGAUUCAAAUGAAGUGUCAAGAAGUAAGCAGCUUCUUCAGGGACAGAAGGAUUUUAAUGGAGAACCUUUAGAAGUGGAGAAAAAGGGGGCUAAAAAUGCUCAGGAAAGUAAACACUUUGGUUUAAAGAGUUUUGGUCACAAAGACUAUUUUAAUAAUUCUUAUAUAAUUCCCUUUAUUAUCAUGUAUAGCGUUAUUUUUUAUUUAGAUUAUAAUUAAUUAUACAGAAUAUUUUAAUUUUAUUUAAUAAUGAA